rnacentral:rRNA from 1 species
UACGUAGGUGGCAAGCGUUGUCCGGAUUUAUUGGGUUUAAAGGGUGCGUAGGCGGUCUAUUAAGUCAGCGGUGAAAGACGACAGCUCAACUGUCGAGGUGCCAUUGAUACUGAUGGACUUGAGUGCACACGAGGUAAGCGGAAUGGACGGUGUAGCGGUGAAAUGCAUAGAUAUCGUCCAGAACACCGAUAGUGAAGACAGCUUACCAGAGUGCAACUGACGCUGAGGCACGAAAGUGUGGGGAUCAAACAGG